rnacentral:rRNA from 1 species
UUGAUCCUGGCUCAGAAUCAACGCUGGCGGCGUGCCUAACACAUGCAAGUCGAACGCGAAAGCCCCGCAAGGGGUAAGUAGAGUGGCAAACGGGUGAGUUACACGUGGGUGACCUGCCUUCGAGUGGGGGAUAACGUCCCGAAAGGGACUCUAAUACCGCAUGACAUCCUGCUCUUGGACGAGCGGAGAUCAAAGCUGGUGAUCGCAAGACCUGGCGCUUGAAGAGGGGCCCGCGCCUGAUUAGCUAGUUGGUGAGGUAACGGCUCACCAAGGCGACGAUCAGUAUCCGGCCUGAGAGGUCGGACGGACACACUGGGACUGAGACACGGCCCAGACUCCUACGGGAGGCUGCAGUGGGGAAUUGUUCGCAAUGAGCGCAAGCCUGACGACGCAACGCCGUGUGGAGGAUGAAGAUCUUCGGGUCGUAAACUCCUGUCGAGCGGGAAGAAUGUUUCGCGGAUGAAUAAGCCGCGGAAGUGACGGUACCGCUAAAGGAAGCUCCGGCUAACUCCGUGCCAGCAGCCGCGGUAAUAAGGU